GGCUCAGAACGAACGCUGGCGGCGUGGCUAAGACAUGCAAGUCGAACGGACUAUGCAAUUGAGUAAUCGAGCGUAUAGUUAGUGGCGAAAGGGUUAGUAAUGGUUAGGUAACGUACCCCGUACUCCGGGAUAGCGUCAGGUGCUUGCACCUUUCCGAAAGGGGCGGUAAUACCGGAUAAUGUCAUCUGUUGACGGACAGGUGACCAAAGAUUUAUCGGUGUGGGAGCGGCCUAAUUCCUAUCAGCUUGUUGGUGAGGUAACGGCUCACCAAGGCAAUGACGGGUAGCGGGACUGAGAGGUUGGCCCGCAACAUCGGGACUGAGACACUGCCCGGACCUCCACGGAGGGCUGCAGUAACGAAUAUUGCGCAAUGAGCGAAAGCUUGACGCAGCGACGCCGCGUGUAGGAUGAAGUCCCUCGGGAUGUAAACUACUGUCAGGGAUACGAAAGUGCGCUUCGGCGCAUUGAUCUACCCCAGAGGAAGUCACGGCUAACUUCGUGCCAGCAGCCGCGGUAAGACGAAGGUGGCAAGCGUUGUUCGGUAUUACUGGGCUUAAAGCGUGUGUAGGCGGAAGAGUAAGCGUUUUGUGAAAUCCCUCGGCUUAACCGAGGAAUUGCUUAGCGAACUGCUUUUCUUGAGGCAAGUAGGGGUGCACGGAACUCUUGGUGGAGCGGUGGAAUGCGUAGAUAUCAAGAGGAACGCCAGUGGUGAAGACGGUGCACUGGGCUUGUUCUG
rnacentral:rRNA from 1 species